rnacentral:rRNA from 1 species
ACGCUCGACACCUACGGGGCAGCAGUGGGGAAUAUUGCACAAUGGGGGAAACCCUGAUGCAGCAACGCCGCGUGAAGGAAGACGGUUUUCGGAUUGUAAACUUCUGUUCUUAGUGAAGAUAGUGACGGUAGCUAAGGAGCAAGCCACGGCUAACUACGUGCUAGCAGCCGCGGUAAUCUGAGCGGGCUGGCAAGGC